CCCACGCUGCGCUGUGCGCUUAUUCCCAGGAGCCUGGAACCUUCCAGACCGGAGCCCAAUACGUUAACGUUCCUCUCUUGCCUGACCCGGUUGGGCCCAGGAGCGGAACUUUCGUCCCUGGGAAAGAAUCGCGUGCGUCCAGGUUCUGGGUCGCGCGUGGAGAGAUGUAGGUCCCCAAGCUGCUGAGCCAGGUCACUUGAAGCUGACCGGCGGUGCGAGGCCACGGGUGGACGGACGGGGUCGCUGUCGGGCAGCGUGGCGCGUUGAUACCCUGCAGUCUAUGCCCAGAGCAUCAUCUGCUGGCUUGUGCUCUCCAGACUCUAAGCCUGUGAAAACAUCUUCUUCUGUUUAUCUCCUCAUGGUAGACCUGAAAGCAAUACUCUGGAGCCUGGAACCUAUAGUCAACACAUUAAUGACCCGCAGAUGAAGGUACCAUCCAGAUGUACAAUCAUCCAAAGUGGUAUGUCCUAAAAUACUUGGCGAUGCAAAUCCUUUAAUUCAGCCACCACCCUCUGUGCA
rnacentral:lncRNA from 1 species